AUUGAACGCUGGCGGCAUGCCUUACACAUGCAAGUCGAACGGCAGCACGGGGCAACCUGGUGGCGAGUGGCGAACGGGUGAGUAAUGCAUCGGAACGUGCCAUUGAGUGGGGGAUAACGUAGCGAAAGUUGCGCUAAUACCGCAUAUUCUGUGAGCAGGAAAGCAGGGGGACCGCAAGGCCUUGCGCUCUUUGAGCGGCCGAUGUCAGAUUAGCUAGUUGGUGAGGUAACGGCUUACCAAGGCGACGAUCUGUAGCGGGUCUGAGAGGAUGAUCCGCCACACUGGAACUGAGACACGGUCCAGACUCCUACGGGAGGCAGCAGUGGGGAAUUUUGGGACAAUGGGCGCAAGCCUGAUCCAGCCAUGCCGCGUGAGUGAAGAAGGCCUCGGUUGU
rnacentral:rRNA from 1 species